UUCUUCUAGUAAUAAAUUAAUUCUGAUUGAUACUACUACUUCCUCCGAUGAUCGGAUGGCGCCUACUGUGACAAGUCCAUUGCAUCCCCGACAUCGCCCUUUCCUCCUACUGCUGGGUUAGGCAUGGCAGGCUGCUUCUUGCGAGAGGAUUCCACAGACAUCGGUGCACGCGGUUUCAUAUUCUCCAUCUCCUUUGAAACUGCAUAGGAAAAGAACAGAUUUUGUUGUAAAAAUAAAUCUUUGCCCGUCUCAUUUAUCUUCCCUAAUAAUAAAGCACGGAGCGCUUCUGCCGUCCAUCGCUGAUGGUUUUGCAAACAAAUCCUUCUGUUUUCUGAUAUUCAACCCGCCGUCCAGAUUUAAGUGAAGAAGAAAAACGUUUCGGUGAUUAAAAAGAAAAACACCCCGAGCUCACCUUAUCCACGCCGUCCUCCACCACGGGAUCCUCGCUCCGACGAUCCGCCGCGCCACCCCUUGCCCCCCCUCCACCCCCACCCCAUCCCAAACCCACUACCGUACGUCGCCGUCGUCACCAUCCACCUCGACCCCGUCUCCCCUUACUCCCUUCUCGGCCAUAAAGGGCGCCGCAAUGGCCGCCGCGUAGGCCCCCGCGCGCGGGCAGCCUGAUGGCCGAUGGCAGCGACGGGGAGGGUGCGGGCGAGAGCUGCUGGCCGGCCCCCGCCGCCACCGCCUCCGGCCAAGGCAGCGGCGGCGGCGGGGUGCAGCUGUCCGGCGUCAGGAGGGAGAUCUACGACCGCCUGCGGGCCAUCGGCAACCAGGAGGCGUUCGCCGACCCCUUCUUCGACCGCGUGCUCGAAGACCACUACUAACGCCUCCCGCCAAGGUCCGUGCUUUCCGCUCACCCCCCGUCCACGCCCGCGUUUUCACCUCACCAACGCCUCUCUCUCUGUCUGUCUGUCUGUGUCCGCGCGCACCGGGGAUGUAGCUACUACAUCGACCUCGACGUGAGCAUGGAAGCCAGGGAUCCCCCACAAUUACCGUUUUGAUUUGGAGCCAGAGGUUUGUCCUGCUGAAGGAAUCGGGCAUGGAAGACGGGGCGGUUGUCGGGGUCGGCGCACUCGGCGAGGAUCCGGCGGUGGAGCAACACGUCCUCCGCCUUGUUCACCAGCGUUCAUGCGUGGCAUAGUUCUGUAAGAAUUGUCAAAAGCGAAUGUUUGAUUAAAAACAGAUAUUUCAGUCAUUUAUGCCAGCUGAUAGUCAGUUUGUAUUGCUCUGAUUAAUGAGCUCUACAGAGAUAUCAGAAAAGCUUUCCCAGAGGAAACUUGAAUUAUUGCAUUUGUGAUGUAGAUAUUCUAACUCAUCUUCAUGGCAUAACUGUAAACAAAGUUCUGCUGUGAUUACUUUUUCAA